rnacentral:rRNA from 1 species
UACGUAGGGGGCGAGCGUUGUCCGGAGUUACUGGGCGUAAAGGGCACGCAGGCGGUGCGGCGCGUUUCGCGUGACAGCGGAGGGCUUAACUCUCCGAGGAUGCGAAAGACGGCGGCACUUGAGGGCCAGAGAGGGACACGGAAUUCCGGGUGGAGUGGUGAAAUGCGUAGAUAUCGAGAGGAACACCAGUGGCGAAGGCGAGUCUCUGGACGACUCCUGACACUGAGGCACGAAAGCUAGGGGAGCAAACAGG